GACAUGAUUAUGUAACCAUGUAACGGAUGGAACUUGUUUAUAAGUAAGUCUAUUAUCGGACGGUCAUAUGUAUGACUAGGGAGGUGUGUUAAUUUAAAUUAAGUGAAUAGGAUGCUUACGGCGGCAGUUUUCCAAAAAGUUGAUUGUUUUGUUAUUUUUGACCUUCGGGCAUAAAUAGAUACGUUAUAAACUCCUCUUAACUAAUAUUUUUGGGUUAUAAACUCAAGUCUAAGCACCAUAUAAUUAAUAUAUGAGUAUGAUGAUCGAAUGCGAGUAGGUUAAUCAAGAAUUGGAUGUAAGUAAAUAUGUGUAGAC
rnacentral:lncRNA from 1 species